rnacentral:misc_RNA from 1 species
GUUGCUGUGAGCCGCUGUGAUGUAUUCUUGCCGUGCCAGCACCGUCCUGCUGUGCCAGUGCCGGGCUCUCUCGUUAGGUUCAAAUUUUCCUUUCCAGUUCUGGAGAGCAAUUUCCUGGGGACCAGAUUGGAGAUCAAGCAAUCUAAAGCAAUAUCUCAAAAUAACAAUCCUCAUGCAAUUUCUGUGCAGAUGGCACUGUCUAUUGGGAAGGCGAUGAAAUGGUGGGAAAAGGGUCUGCAUCCGAACAUGAGGGAGAUUACCUCAGCCCAGGAUCUGGUCUACUCACUGCAGAACGCCGGGAACAAGCUGGUGAUUGUGGAUUUCUUCUCGCCGGGGUGCGGUGGCUGCAGAGCACUCCAUCCUAAGAUUUGCCAGUUCGCCGAGAUGAACCCGGACGUGCAAUUCCUUCAAGUGAACUAUGAAGAGCAUAAAUCCAUGGCGUAUAGCUUGAAUGUUCAUGUGCUGCCGUUUUUCCGGUUCUACCGAGGAGCGCAUGGCCGUCUGUGUAGCUUCAGCUGCACUAAUGCCACAAUCAAGAAAUUCAGGGAUGCGCUGGCUAAACACAAUACUGAUAGAUGCAGCCUUGGGCCGACUAAGGGGCUGGAGGAGAAGGAGCUUGUUGCUCUCGCAGCAAACAGAGAACUGGGUUUCAGUUAUACACCAAAGCCAGAGCAUGAGCCUGUUAAUCAACCAGAUGUUUUACCGGAGCCGACUCGCCCGAAGCUGCCUCUCUCAAGAGAUGCUGAGGAGAAAGUGCUGGCUGGAGCUGGGAGGUAGAGGUUGGGAGCAUUGAGAAAUAGCUCCCCUUUGUACAGUUUCCUUUCCGGAAAUUGCAUGUAGGCUAUAGUUAUCCAAUUUCAAAGAUCUGUGUUUGUUAAGGAUCUUGACUUGCCAUUGCAGGCUGAUUG